UUCUUAUCAAGAGAGGUGGAGGGACUGGCCCUAUGAAGCCUCAGCAACCAGCCAAACAUGGUCAGGUGCUAAUUCCAGCAAACAAGUAUUGUCAUUGUUUGACAGAUAAGAA
rnacentral:ncRNA from 2 species